UCUUAUGGGUGAACAAAAGAAGUGGUUUUUUGAGAUGGAAACUACUCCUGGUAAAAGUGCUGUGAA
rnacentral:pre_miRNA from 1 species